UGACCAACCAAAUAAUCUCAAGUUUUGGGCUAAAAUCAUCCCUCUGCUAUAGCCCAAACCUAAGGUACAUCCUUGUGUUACUAUAGUGAGCAAAAAACGUCCUUGUACUAUUCAAAAAGUGGCAAAAUCCAUUCUUCUGUUAGAAGCUGUCAAAAUACUCACGGUCCCAACAAAAGAACGUGCCAAGCACGUGGCUUUCCCCUUAAAUUUUCCAAGUAUCCUUCUCAUUGUCUUCCACCUUCAGCAAAGCAGACUUCAAUAACUCAACUGUCCUUCAACUAAAAUAGCCUAGAACUUCUGGGAACAGAAAUCAUAGCUCCAACUCUUUUACACCAACUCAAAGGGCUAUGUCUACCUUGUCAUCGCUUCUCACAAGACAUGCAACAGGAGAAUAAUGCAACUAUUUUAGUUGGAGCAAUGAAGAGCCUAAUUAAGAUCUCUUCAUAUGAUUCAAAACUCUCGAAAAAGUGGUUGAUCGCGAGGCACAAUUUAAAGAUUGUUACAACAAUGAGAAGCAAUUGGAGAAGAAGUUGAAUACCUUGUAUGUACAGUUUACAAGUUAAAUGAAAAGUAUUAUUGUUGCCCAAGAGUACUUGUAUCAUCUCUUCUUUAACAAGUGCAAUGUACUGUUAAGUUCUUUGUUUUUCAAGUCUAAUAAAGUACUUGUAUAGUUAAAUCUUCA